UUAAACUUGUAGCUUAGUCUUGAAGUGGGCGCGCUAUGACUUUUUUUUCAUCACUCUGGCUAUCUGACUUUCUCCGCUCGCCCAUUGACAGUCCCUCAAACCCUAGCAUCCCCUCUCUCUCUCUCUUUCUUCUUCAGAUCUAACAUGGCUAAGGUCGGUAUUCCGCCAUUUUCACCGUUGUUCGAAGGAAUGUCGACGUUAUCCUAUGAUAUUGAGCGAAUUUGGUGCCGAUUCGAAUUUGGUGCCGAUUUACGCUCUCACCAAGAAUUCCAGAGUAGGAGAAGCAAAGCUACAUGAGUUGAACCAUGAUUCUUCCGGUUUCUUGCAUAGUAGGCAAGGUAAUAAUAGGAAACUAGUGUGACACUGAAGGGUACUACUUAUUCUUUUACCUUCGCCUCGUUGAUUGCGGUAUUGUUGUUUUCAUAGAAUAAUUCUUUGAUUAUAUAAUUUCUGGAUGACAAGUGGAGCCGAUAGAUGGUCUGUGAACAAGAGCUGCUGAAAAACAAAAGCAGCUCUGUGAACUAAGUCGUGCGUUGCCUGUUUUGGCUUCUGCAUCUGUAUGAAGAUUCUAUAAAGACUUGGCAAUCUCCAUUUGAACAGCAGAAGGCGGAGGGCUGAAGAGUUCUUGACAAGCCCCAAUCGAGUACUAGGGACGGACCUCGAAGCCGAUUGAGGAGAGAGAAAGCAGAAGUCUAGAGAUUUGGAGGUAGAAGAUGAAGAAGAGUGAGAAAGAGAGGAUGCACGUAAGCUGCAGGCAGAGCAGUGGUUGGUUUGUUUUAUAGUUUACUGAAUGUUAACUUUUGAGUUACUAUGGCGAUUUCCCGAGGACUACCGGCAUCUGGCCAAGAGCAGAACUGAUUAAACGUGUUAGAGAACCACUCCUUGUUUCUCUCAUGAGGUGCAUGCUUAAAGCAAUAACAUAUACGACUAGCUGUGUUUUGCAACAACAACUCGGACUAUCCUGUUCAUCUUUGGGAUUCACGUUCUAAUUUGGGAUUUAGAUAUAUACAUGAAUGGAGCUUGUGUGACUUGUCUUUCCUGAUUUCACGUUCUAAUUUGAGGGUUUCUUGACUAGAAAUAUUGCUGCAGUUAAUUCAGUUUGUUUCAUUGUUAUUUGUUGGGGCUGUUUGUUUCAUUGUUAUUUGUUGGGGUUGUUUGUUCCGUGGAGAAUCCUUGUUAGUUCAAGUUCCUUGUUUCUGUUUCAUGACUGUAAACCUGUGCACAGGUAUUAAUUGCAAUCUCAAUUUACUUUCAGGAAAAAAUGGCCUUGAUGGAAGAUUUUGAGGUUUCCUUGCAAAUUCUUCUUGGCUUUGAUACUGAUAUAUCUAUCGAGGUUAAUGAAAUCAAGGUAUGAUUUUCUUUUUGAAAAUCUCUUGGACCCGGCUCAUCUUCCAUAUGCACACUAUGGUAUAUUGGAAACUCCCAAAUUCAAGGCCGAUAGAGAAGGCAGAAGACCACUUAACUUGUAUUAAAAACAUGGACACUGAUUUUGUGGGUCAUGUCACGGUUCCUAAAUUACAAAGGAAUGUAAAAUUAUAGAGUAUUGUGGAUGUUUUUGUUGGUUAUAACUAAUUAUGUAUUUUGUUAAUAAUUGUUGAUUUGUAUAACGUGUGGCAGCUCUAUUGUAGCUGCAAUUUUUUUUUUAAUAAUAUAUAUGCAUUAUUUGCAGCGCCUGCCUCAGUAGGCAAAGUUGCAAAUAAUGUCCUUUUUUUGGCCUUUGGAAGCAA